GAUGAAGAACGCAGUGAAAUGCGAUACGUAAUGUGAGUUGCAGAAUUCAGUGAAUCAUCGAGUCUUUGAACGCACAUUGCGCCCCCUGGUAUUCCGGGGGGCAUGCCUGUCCGAGCGUCAUUGCUGCCCUCAAGCACGGCUUGUGUGUUGGGCCUCCGUCCUCCUCCCGGGGGACGGGCCCGAAAGGCAGCGGCGGCACCGCGUCCGGUCCUCGAGCGUAUGGGGCUUCGUCACCCGCUCUUGUAGGCCCGGCCGGCGCUUGCCGACACAUCAAUCUUUUUUCCAGGUUGACCUCGGAUCAGGUAGGGAUACCCGCUGAACUUAAGCAUAUCAAUAAGCGGAGGA
rnacentral:misc_RNA from 1 species